GUGAGUAGUUCAGAGUUUGAUCCUGGCUCAGGAUGAACGCUGGCGGCGUGCAUAACACAUUCAAGUCGAACGGAACUCAAUCAAUUAAUCCUUCGGGAAGCGUUGAGCGAGUUUAGUGGCGGACGGGUGAGUAACGCGUGAGCAACCUGCCUCUGUAUGUGGAAUAACGUCGGGAAACUGACGCUAAUACCGCAUAACGCAUAGAAGUCGCAUGUCUUUUAUGCCAAAGAUUUAUUGUACAGAGAUGGGCUCGCGUCUGAUUAGGUAGUUGGUGAGGUAACGGCCCACCAAGCCGACGAUCAGUAGCCGGACUGAGAGGUUGAACGGCCACAUUGGAACUGAGAUACGGUCCAG
rnacentral:rRNA from 1 species